UACGAAGGGGGCUAGCGUUGCUCGGAAUCACUGGGCGUAAAGCGCACGUAGGCGGAUUGUUAAGUCAGGGGUGAAAUCCUGGAGCUCAACUCCAGAACUGCCUUUGAUACUGGCGAUCUUGAGUCCGGGAGAGGUGAGUGGAACUGCGAGUGUAGAGGUGAAAUGCGUAGAUAUCGUAAGGAAGACCAGUGGCGAAGGCGGGUCUCUGGACAGUUCCUGACGCUGAGGCACGAAGGCCAGGGGAGCAAACGGG
rnacentral:rRNA from 1 species